ACGAACGCUGGCGGCGUGCUUAACCCAUGCAAGUCGAACGGAAAGGCCUGCUUUCCCUUGUGGAUUGCGGGUACUCGAGUGGCGAACGGGUGAGUAACACGUGAGUGAUCUGCCCCCAACUUGGGUAUAAGCCUGGGAAACUGGGUCUAAUUCCCGAUAGGACUGCAGGGUGGUGCCUGUGGUGGAAAACGAUUUUCUAGUGGUUGGGGAUGAGCUCGCGGCCUAUCAGCUUGUUGGUGGGGUAAUGGCCUACCAAGGCGGCGACGGGUAGCCGGCCUGAGAGGGUGGACGGCCACAUUGGGACUGAGAUACGGCCCAGACUCCUACGGGAGGCAGCAGUGGGGAAUAUUGCACAAUGGGCGGAAGCCUGAUGCAGCGACGCCGCGUGGGGGAUGACGGCCUUCGGGUUGUAAACUCCUUUCGACCGCGAGGAAGCCACCUGGUUGGAAGGGUGGUGACGGUAGUGGUAGAAGAAGCACCGGCUAACUACGUG
rnacentral:rRNA from 1 species